GUGCUCGCUUGGGUAGCACAGAUACUAAAAUUGGAACCAUACAGAGAAGAGUAAUACAGCCCCUAGACAAGGAUGACAGGCAAUAUGUAAAGUGUUCCAUAUUUUU
rnacentral:snRNA from 1 species